AUAAUUCCCCCCAAAUCACACCACUUCCUCCCCCAAACCCUAGACUCACACCGUCGGACCACCUCCUCUGCGCCGCCGCUUCACCUCGCCGAACCACCUUGUCAGCGCCACCGGACCACCAGAUGAAAAUGUAAAUUAUCCACCCUUUAAAACCAGG